rnacentral:rRNA from 1 species
AUACCAUGUACGUGACAUACUACAGCAUAGACGCUAUCGUGCAGCAGCGCGUAUACGAAGGUCAGCGUAUCGAUACUGGGCGUAAAGCGCGCGUAGGUGGUUUAUUAAGUUGGGUGUGAAAGCCCCGGGCUCAACCUGGGAACUGCAUCCAAAACUGAUUCACUAGAGUACGAAAGAGGGAGGUAGAAUUCACAGUGUAGCGGUGGAAUGCGUAGAUAUUGUGAAGAAUACCAAUGGCGAAGGCAGCCUCCUGGUUCUGUACUGACACUGAGGUGCGAAAGCGUGGGUAGCGAACAGGAUUAGAUACCCUGGUAGUCCACGCCGUAAACGAUGACAACCAGCUGUUGGGAAGCAAAGCUUUUCAGUGGCGCAGCUAACGUCUCAAGUUGUCCGCCUGGGGAGUACGGCCGCAAGGUUAAAACUCAAAUGAAUUGACGGGGACCCGCACAAGCGGUGGAGCAUGUGGUUUAAUUCGAUGCAACGCGAAAAACCUUACCUACUCUUGACAUCCUUGGAAUCUCUUGUAAUGAGAGAGUGCCUUUUGGAACCAAGUGACAGGUGCUGCAUGGCUGUCGUCAGCUCGUGUCGUGAGAUGUUCCGUUAAGUCGGAUAACGAGCGCAACCCUUACCCUUAUUUGCCAGCGGUUCGGCCGGGAACUAUAAGGGGACUGCCGGUGAUAAACCGGAGGAAGGUGAGGACGACGUCAAGUCAUCAUGGCCCUUACGAGUAGGGCUACACACGUGCUACAAUGGGAAGUACAGAGGGACGCCAAAGCGCGAGCUGGAGCUAAUCUCAUAAAACUUUUCGUAGUCCGGAUUGCAGUCUGCAACUCGACUGCAUGAAGUCGGAAUCGCUAGUAAUCGCGGAUCAGCACGCCGCGGUGAAUACGUUCUCGGGUCUUGUACACACCGCCCGUCACACCAUGGGAGUGUAUUGCACCAGAAGUAGGUAGUCUAACCUUCGGGAGGGCGCU